rnacentral:lncRNA from 1 species
UUGCAAACCACCUAAAUGAUCAUUGUCAUGGUCCGUGCAUUUGGGUUAGAAAAAGAAUUUUCCUGAUUCAUAGCAGGGUGAAAAGAAAGAUGAGUUUACUGAGAUAAGAAAUGCUGCUAGCAUAGUGGGAUGACUUCCUGAUGAUCAGAGAGAGCUGAAUCUGAGCGUGUGAUCAUGUCUGUUUUAUAGUCUAGGGGGAGGAAAGGUCUUAGUGUACACUUGCUGAUAGGCUGACUGGUUAGGGAAAGAGGGUCUUACGAUACACUUGCUGGUUUGUUGGGGGCAUAUAAGGUCCUUAUAGAGGUGGGGGAAGAGUGGGCCUUUCAUAGUAGGGGUCAGGAAGGACUAGGACAGUUGCUCAAGUUGGGAGGGGGCACUACAAUGAGAUGGAUGGGGCAAUGAUAAGGAUCUAGUAAUUCUUUUUGGGGGGUCUAGUAAAUCUUUAAUUUUUUUUUUAACUUUUUUUACUUUUUAGGGCUGCACCCACUGCAUAUGGAAGUUCUCAGGGUGAAAUCAGAGCUGCAGCUGCCAGCCCACACCACAGUAACAGCAACUCAGGAUCUGAGCCAUGUCUGCAACAUACACCACAGCUCACAGCAAUGCUGGAUCCUUAACCCACUGAGCAAGGCCAGGGAUCAAACCUGCAUCCUCUGGAGUUCCCAUUGUGGCACUGCAGAAAUGAAUCUGACUAGGAACCAUAAAGUCCCACAACCAUCAACAGACUAAUUGGAUGCCCAUAACCAAAACAAAACAAAACAAAACAAAAACCCAGCACAACCAGAUCAUCUGAGAAAUCCAUCCAUCACUGCAACCAGAAGAGAGUGGAUCGGACCUUAUCAGUGCCUACAAGAGUCAAGGUAGUCACAGUGGUAACAAUGGCAGUAGAGGCAGCUGGUGGACGAUCCAGCAGAGGUGACUGAAAAUGAAAUUCUCUCUGGCUGCUCUGGUGCAGCUGGAGGGACAUGUUCCUCUUCAUCAGCACCUGGGUUUCUGUAAAGGGACCUCUAUGGCUGGGCAGAGGGAAGAAAAAUGAAGAAGGCAGAGAAAGGAAUGUAAACAAACACAUUUGUCUGCCCUGGGAUUUCAGGGCAAGGUUCACCCACCUCUGGGACUCCUCAACUUGAGGAUGUCCCCACUGGUUUGUGUAUACACCCAAAACCCCAAUGUGCCAAGCCCACACCUUCCCUAAUUCUGUCACCAGCCGGUUUUUGUUUUGUUUUGUUUUUGCUUUUUAUUCCUGGAUUAUAGGUACACACCUAACUAUAGCAGCUAGUCAACUGUGGUAAGAGAAACCAAUGAUUGUGCUAUAGUGCCACCUUUUUGAAAACAAAGAAAAAUUUUGAAUUGCCAAUAUAUUGACAUACUAAAUUCAAACUAAACAAAGCUUUCCCUAAAUAAGAAAAGUGUGUGCUGCUUCAGAUGAGAUCAACAAAGCACAUUUUAUAAAAUGCUUUGCAAAGUCAUGGUAAUAUGACAUCACAAAAAGAAAAUGAGUUUUCCAGCAAUUGAUCUCAAAGCCAUGGAAUAUUGUAAUCUAAUUAUUAAAGAAUUCAAAAUAGCUCUUAUUAAGUAAGUCAACAAGGUGCAGGAAAAUUCAGAGGUAUUUCAAAGAACUCAGGAAUAAAAUUAGUAAAAAGAAGGAGUACUUUACCA